rnacentral:misc_RNA from 1 species
UAUACGUUAUUUUUUAUUUUGCGAUUAGAAAGACUCGAGCCUAGACUUAAGUUUCAGCGGGCAUUGCGCCCGAAGAAAGAAGAGGCUAUGAGCCGAAGAGGCCCGGCAAACUGCCGUUCAAGAGGGCAACUACCAAUGGCUCUCCAUCCUCUGGGUCAUCCAGAGCAUGGAAAGUUAUUCUCGUUACUACUUUGUCACUAUGCUUGCUUUUAGUAUUUGUAGUAGUAGUAGCUCUUUUUUUUGGCUGAUGUAUAUAUCGGUCCAUCAUCACAUUGGGCAAAUCGCGGUUUUGUUUUAUUAUGUUGCGAAAAAGAAAAAAAUACUUGUCCACUACGGUUUUUGUUCUUCGGGCUUGUAUCGAGUGGAUGGCCCUUCUGGCUAUUGUUUUCACUUCUCUUUCAGCACACCUUAAUUCCAGAGUAUUGUUUCGAAAAUACUGUUGAUGAACAUAUUUAUCUAAUACUCAUGGACAUCUUUAAUUUUACAUAAUUAUACAAAUUUUAUGUAACAUUAAAAUUUGUAUAAUUUUUAAAUUUUAUUCAAUGAUGCCACGUACAUUGCGUGUA